rnacentral:ncRNA from 1 species
AAGACUGUAGUGGGAGAGAACGUAAUUAUACGUCACCGAAGGGGCAAAUCUUAAAUGAAAGAUGAAUCUCUCAGGUAAAAAGACCACUGUAGGACG